rnacentral:lncRNA from 1 species
GAGAAAACACAGGAUUCAUCGGAAGUUCAUCCUAUUAAAGAAUCAGAAGCAGUUGCAGUAAAAGAUAUCAAUGAUUCAGUAGCAGUGCCUGAAGUUGAUAAACCAGAAUCAGCAGUUCCUGAAGUUGAGGUUAAACAAGAAAAGCAAUCUGAAGUAAUUGAACAAGUGGAAAAACCAGAAUCAGCGGUUCCUCAGGUUGAGGUGAAAUUGGUGGAACAACCUGAAGUAACUGAACAAGUUGAAAAACCAGAAUCAUUGGGUCCUGAGGUUGAGGUGAAACCAGAAGAACAACCUGAAGUCACUACACAUACGGAAAAACAAAAGAAACAUGAAGUAGAGUUGAAAACUGAGGCACGAUCUGAAGUUAGUGAACAGGUUGAGAUUAAGCCAACUAAUGAAAAGCCAGAGGAAGUAGCUGGAAUUACUCAGGAGGCUGAAGUUGAUGUCAAAGAGGAUAUAGGAAAAUCUUCUCUUCCUGAAGUUGUAGGAAAGGUUGGUCCAGAAGAUGAAAAAAGAGAGGCUGAAGGAACUGAUCCGGUUGAAGUGCCAGUAAAAGAGGUUGUGGUAGAAGCGGAAAAGGGUGGAGAAGAGAAAGAAGCUCAGACGACCAAAGAUGAGGGCGAGAAUAUAGCAAGUGAAACACUAAAAGAGGAACUAGCUCAUCCCAUCAAAGUGGAAGAUGUCAGCGAUGCGGUUUCAAAUGCCGAAGUUACUGAAAAAUCAUUUGAGGGAGAGAAGACAGUUGAAAAUGUUGUGCCUGCUGUAGAAGACAAGAAAGAGGAGAUACCAGCAGGAAAGGAAACCGAAAAAGAUCAGAAAAUAGAGGGAAAGCUGGAUGAAGCUACCACAAUUGGCAGUGAAACAGUCAAAGAAUCCCAAGAUUCUGGGUUAGAAGCAAAAGAAGAAGAAAGUGCAAAAAACAACAAAGAAAACUCCGAGCAGGAAAAGGUUGAU